AUGGGAUAAAUGUGAGCUCA
rnacentral:miRNA from 1 species